rnacentral:lncRNA from 1 species
GCUUUUUGCUCUACAGUUGUGUGAGAUCGACCUUAAACUUUCUCCGACCCUAUUCGGGAUGCCCUAGCACGGCUCAGGUGUUGGUGGCUGUCAAGGACCCGGGUUCCAACAAUCUGGAAAAGUAGGAACCCAGUGCCCGGCUCCCUAGCUUUACUGCUCUUAAAUAUAUAAAUUCCCGGGAAGUUUCGGAUACCUCACUACGACAUUCCCCAGCUGACCUUUGGGAACUUUUAACUUGGGUCGUCCUGUACAGAACGGUAGUCUACGGGGCGCUCAAAAUGGAAAAGGGUUUCCACAUCAGUCGCGUUCGAGAACGCUCUCCAACUUUUGAUGUCCCGUUUGCUCUUAGCUUUCCCCGUGGAGAGUUACAGGUAAGUCGCAGAUAAGUCAUUGCGAAGAGGGGGUGUCACCUUCCCUGGACCCAGAGCUAAAUUCUGCUUCCCCACCCCCACGUUCAUAUACACACCCCUUAUUCGCUCCCUCCAAACGGUUAUCACAACUCUGUACAAACUGAUACGGUCCCUAGCGGGCAAAAGGACUGGAAAUGAACGUCGCGGGGUUAUCAGCGCCUAUCUGUCAGCAGUGACUCGCGCGGCCGCAGGCUCGUCCGCUGCCGGAGCCGUGAUAUAUGUCUCUCUCCCUUUCGCUCACAGAAAGGAUUUCUUCCGACAGACAUGACCCCAGAAGGCGGCCGAGGGAAACUUUAGGACAAGAGGAGUUGUUUUUGUGAUAAUGCAUUUUUAAACCCCACCCCCCCACACACAAGUUUCAGCGUGGCCGCAUUUUGAAAAGGCUGAAGGUAGAAAACUCUGGAAUGGAGAGGCUGGCGACUGGAGCAGGAUCCAGGGGCUUUAAAUUUUAACCUGAGUGCGAUCGAAUGUGCGACUUCCAGAUGAGAUAGCCAGGCGUCCGCCCAGCCACUCAACCCCCGCCAGGACUCGGAAUGCCUUGCUUUUGGUUCUUUUCUACAAGGAUGUCUGCAUGGAUAUCCCUGGACACUGAUACCCCUGGGGACCUGCUUUUGCCGCAGCUCCGCAGACGCAGCGGGAGGGCUCGCUGGCCCGGGCGCUGCUGGGACAGAGGUGAGCGGCGAGAUGGACAUUGA